rnacentral:lncRNA from 1 species
GAUUUGCCGUUUAGUGCAAGUAGCAUGAACACCCAACCCAAUUAUGUCACAGAUGCCAAAUAUAACUUUUGCAGUAGAUAUCCAAUCAUCUUGUGCCAUGUAAUUUAGAACUCCAUUGUCAGAUAGGUUUCUUGUGACAUGGGUGUACCUCACCUACCUCACCGGAGACCUGGAGCUACGCACCAUGUUUGAAUCUGUAUGAAACUGAAUCUCUAACCAUCAUCUUACACAAUGCAAAACAUUCUUGGAACUUUCUCGCGAGUGAAAAUACUUUUUUUUUAAAAGAAAUUGUAUGAUAAAAAGUAUUAUAUUAUAAUUAGUUGAUGUUACAAUAAAUUCAUUCAAUUUCUUGCUAAUCUUUUUUUUUGUUUGUUUGUGAAAAACUAGCUAAUAACUUGAAUAUUGUACUAAUAUAUAAAAAAGGUUAAUAUAUGGGAUGUAAAAAUACCAUCAUCGUUUGGUAUGAUGGUCUGCUUAUUAAUUAGGAAUAUGAAUAGGAAUGCGGGAAUGAGAUUCUUUAACUUGUUUACUUCAAAAGUAGGGAGGGAAAAUGACAAU